rnacentral:rRNA from 1 species
UACAGAGGUCUCAAGCGUUGUUCGGAUUCAUUGGGCGUAAAGGGUGUGUAGGUGGCACCGUAAGUCGGGUGUGAAAUUUCGGAGCUUAACUCCGAAACUGCAUUCGAUACUGCGGUGCUUGAGGACUUGGAGAGGAGACUGGAAUUUACGGUGUAGCGGUGAAAUGCGUAGAUAUCGUAAGGAAGACCAGUGGCGAAGGCGGGUCUCUGGACAGUUCCUGACGCUGAGGCACGAAGGCCAGGGAGCAAACGGG